rnacentral:rRNA from 1 species
GACGAACGCUGGCGGCGUGCUUAACACAUGCAAGUCGAACGGAAAGGCCCUGCUUUUGUGGGUUGCUCGAUUGGCGAACGCGUGAGUAACACGUGAGUAACCUGCCCUUGACUUUGGGAUAACUUCACGAAACUCCGGCUCAUACCGCAUAUGAGCUCCUGCUCCAUGUUGGGCGUUGGAAAGUUUCGGCGGUUGGGGAUGUACUCGCGGCUUAUCCGCUUGUUGGUGGGGUAGUGGCUUACGAAGGCUUUGACGGGUAGCCGGCAUGAGAGGGUUAACGGGGUCAUGGGGACUGAGAGACGGCGCAGACGGCUACGGGAGGCAGCAGGAGAGAAUAUUGCACAAUGAGCGGAAGCCUGAGGCAGCAACGCCGCGUGCGGGAUGACGGCCUUCGGGUUGUAAACCGCUGUGGCCGGUGACGAAGAGGGAGUGACGGUAAUGGGUAAAGAAGCAACGGCUAACUACGUG